AGUGAACGCUGGCGGUAGGCCUAACACAUGCAAGUCGAACGGCAGCACAGGAGAGCUUGCUCUCUGGGUGGCGAGUGGCGGACGGGUGAGGAAUACAUCGGAAUCUACUCUGUCGUGGGGGAUAACGUAGGGAAACUUACGCUAAUACCGCAUACGACCUACGGGUGAAAGCAGGGGACCUUCGGGCCUUGCGCGAUUGAAUGAGCCGAUGUCGGAUUAGCUAGUUGGCGGGGUAAAGGCCCACCAAGGCGGCGAUCCGUAGCUGGUCUGAGAGGAGGAUCAGCCACACUGGAACGGAGACACGGUCCAGACGCCUACGGGAGGCAGCAGUGGGGAAUAUUGGACAAUGGGCGCAAGCCUGAUCCAGCCAUACCGCGUGGGUGAAGAAGGCCUUCGGGUUGUAAAGCCCUUUUGUUGGGAAAGAAAUCCAGCUGGCUAAUACCCGGUUGGGAUGACGGUACCCAAAGAAUAAGCACCGGCUAACUUCGUGCCAGCCGCCGCCGUAA
rnacentral:rRNA from 1 species